ensembl:lncRNA
ACAGAAUGUAAGAGCAGCUGAGAGGAAUCCCUCACUCCUGUACUGAAUAUCUCAACCACUACUGCAGGUCUUUGCAUAUGCAAUCUACUAAAGAAGAAAAACUCACAAAGUUAGAUUCACAUUUUUAAAUUUGCAUUUUUAAAAACUUUUGGGUGUGGUGCUGACAACUUGUUGCGUUUUCAUUUGUGUCCUCCCUGGAAGUGAGGCACUCAGUGAGACACAGAAUAACAGAAUGACCCCGGUUGGAAAGGACCUCAAGGAUCAUGAAGCUCCAACCCCCCCUGCCACAGGCAGGGCCACCAACUUCCACGUUUAAUACUGGACCAGGCUACCCAGGGCCCCAUGCAACCUGGCCUUAAUCGUCGAGGUUCGCUGCUUCGGAGCUGUCCCAGCCAGAACUGCAGCGACUGACCACGAGGCUGACAGUGAUGAAGUUGCUGAGAAAAGCCUGAGGACUAUCAAGAAAGACUUCAGGGGACUGGGUGCUCGUGUUUUUUUCUUCCUUCAGUGGCAGGGAAGGAUACUGAGAGACACCACAUAAGCAAAGCUGGAUUUUCUUACUGUCUGUAAAGACUUUCAUUAUUACUAUCAUAUUUUUCAUUAGCAGCAUGAGAACUCAUGUCGCAGCAGUGCUUCAUCAAUAUUCAGUUCUUAUGUGUUGGUACUCCAAAAUCAUAAAGUUUAAAGACUCCGUCCUACAAUCUAGAGUCACACAGUUGCAGUGGUGGGAUCUGGGAAAUAAGACACGUAAGAUGCAGCACAAAGAAGAUCUACAGAACACUAUUGAGAAGUCCUCCCCUUCCAUCCUCCAUGGCCUGCUCUGCUCUGGGCAUCUGUGAAAACUGGCUGCUUCCUCUCUUCCUGAGCAAGUCUCUGUGCCAAGGACCAGGUGGACAGGUAAC